rnacentral:lncRNA from 1 species
AUUCAUUCUGAAAUUUAAGAGCCAAUUAUCCAUAUGAUAAAAUCCGAAUUUGGACGAGGUUUUUUCAUAAAAUUUGUAAGAACAAAUGUGUAGAUAAGUUUAGGCUUUUGAAUCACCUAAUUUGGACAUCAGAAGCCCAAGUUAUGACCCAUCAAAGCAAACUGGUUCAAUUUCAUAUUAGGCUGGUGUAACUUCCACUUGAGUUAAUGUGACCAAGCUUUGAUUUAUGUUAUUCAGCCCAAGCUCGAUACAUGCUUCCUUGUUGCAUUCUUAAAUUUUGUCAAUGUCAUUCCACAAGCCUUGAACCAUCCCAUUUAAUGCAUCCUUAAUUUCUUCAUCCUCGCUCUUAUAAUCGGACCAUUAGGUAGCUGAAUUGGAUUCAUGUUCUUGUAUCCUGCCUUAUUUGCAUCACUUAGGACUUAAUGGGGCCUAGGGCUUAGUGCUUAAUGGGGCCUAGGACUUAUAGCUUAUUAGGGCUUACGGUUUAGGGCUUAUGACUUAGAGUUUGGGGCUUAUUAAGGCUUAGGGCAUAACACAUAGGGCUUAUUAGGGUUU